GUUGAAAGUUUCGCUAGACCCUCAGCAGCCCCUGUGGCCUGACAAGCCUCUCGCGUGAGACACUCCAGAUGGGAUUCCACACUUAGAGCCGUCCUAAUGACCUGGAGUAUCACCAGAACCACGGAGGCGGAGACGGUCUGGAAGUACCCGCGGCUGGAAAUCCCGAGACGGAGACGGUUUACCGAGCAUCGGUUGCGAUCGAACACGGGGAAACGCACUUCCUGGCAGAGCGACCCCCAUUUGGGAAAAACCUCUUCGAAUGCAGACGUCAGUGUGUGUCGCCUACAGAUUGAAGACACGAUGUGAACACACAACUGUAUUAUCUCAUCCUGUACGCUGGGGGAGGUGUUGACAUGCAGCUUUGGCUGUACCAUACAUUUCCAGACGAUGGCGAAUGUGCAAUUGAGUCAGUCACCCCUGGCUGAUUGAGUGAGAGCAGCAAAUGAAGGAUUGUUUGCUCGGUGACUGAGAUCUGGAGACGGAUUGAAGAUGGACAGCUGCGAAAGAGACCGAACCCCAUGAAAAAUCACAUCCUCUACUGUAAAUCUCUCAUUUAAGACGCUUUAAUUCCUUUGAACAAAGGUCUCGAAGCUGCCGUUCCCCUGGAUGCUUUCACACAGGUGCGGCCCGAAGCAUCUUCCUGUUGUGGCCGACACGGUGACCUUAUGGGCUUCUGCUGCCCGCGAGGCGGUCCGAGAGCUGGUCUGGAGACAGAUCAAAGUGGCAAUCAUGCCCCACCAACAGAGAUAAAUACACACUUCCUCUCUUCCCUUUCACACUGCUUUUUCCCACACUACUCAAACCCCCAUGCUGCAGCAACGCCAGCUCAGAGGAAACGACAAACCACAUCAAGAGGUUCGCCGUUGCUUUGACGGGAGAGCCUCGCGCCAGCCUUCAGGAGAGAGAAAGGACGCCGCGGCAGCCAUUAGAGGGGAUACAAGUUAUUUGUAUGUCUUUUUAGAAAAUGCUAACAGCAAAGCACAUCUCGUUCUCAACCAUGCGUGACCUAGAUUGACGCUAGAUGCUUAAAACAAUGCCAUUAAGUCAAUAUUUACGUUCCGCAAUCCUUCAUAAUUUGCUCAUUCAUUUCGCUAAUUGUGUUUAAUUUUCUGUGCUUUUUGUGCUCCACACUUUACCUACAGAACAGUUGCUCAUAAUUGGAGGUCAGUGCUUUUUUCCUAUAGUAAGAUUGAUACCGUAGAUAUUCUCAGAAUGAGCACAGUUCCCAAAAUGUUAUGUUAUUCCUUUCGGCUGGAGGCCUUGAAUUAAACCAGAAACUGAGC
ensembl:lncRNA